UUAAUUAAUUAUUAUCAGCGCGGCCUAUCAGCUUGUUGGUGAGGUAGUGGCUCACCAAGGCGACGACGAGUAGCCGGCCUGAGAGGGCGACCGGCCACACUGGGACUGAGACACGACCCAGACUCCUACGGGAGGCAGCAGUGGGGAAUAUUGCGCAAUGGGCGAAAGCCUGACGCAGCAACGCCGCGUGCGGGAUGACGGCCUUCGGGUUGUAAACCGCUUUCAGCAGGGAAGAAGCCGCAAGGUGACGGUACCUGCAGAAGAAGCACCGGCUAACUACGUGCCAGCAGCCGCGGUAAUACGUAGGGUGCAAGCGUUGUCCGGAUUUAUUGGGCGUAAAGAGCUCGUAGGCGGUUCGUCACGUCGGAUGUGAAAACCCAGUGCUUAACACUGGGCCUGCAUUCGAUACGGGCGAACUUGAGUGUUGUGGGGGAGACUGGAACUCCUGGUGUAGCGGUGAAAUGCGCAGAUAUCAGGAAGAACACCGAUGGCGAAGGCAGGUCUCUGGGCAACUACUGACGCUGAGGAGCGAAAGCGUGGGGAGCAAACAGGAUUAGAUACCCUGGUAGUCCACGCCGUAAACGGUGGGCGCUAGGUGUGGGGACCAUUCCACGGUUUCCGUGCCGCUGCUAACGCAUUAAGCGCCCCGCCUGGGGAGUACG
rnacentral:rRNA from 1 species